UAUACCCAUGACUCAUUUAUUUUGUCACUGGCAGUUUGUAUCUCUUAAUCUCCCUCACUCAUUUCUCUCCUCUCCUCAUCCCCCUCUUCUCUAGCAACCCACCUUCCUGUUCUCUGUAUCUGACUCUUUCUACUUUGUUACGCUUGUUCAGUUGUUUUGUUUUUUAGAUUCUACAUUUAAGGGGAAUCAUAUUUUAUUUGUCUUUAUCUGACUUAUUUCUCUUUGCAUGAUACCCUCUAGGUCCAUCCAUGUUGUUGCAAAUAUAUCAGCCCGAUUCUCCCAACAGCAUUUGCCCACUUUGUGUCUCUGUGUUACGUUUUGGUAAUUCUCACAAUAUUUCAAACUUUUUCACUCUUAUUGUGUAUGUUAUGGUGAUCUGCCAUCAGUGUGAUCUUUCAUGUUACAGCUAUGACUCACUGAAGGCACAGAUGAUGGUUAGCAUUUUUUAGCAAUAAAGUACUUCUAAGUUAAAGUAUGUACGUUGUUUUUUCAGACAUAAUGCUAGAUCGUAAGAG